CUGGCGCGGCCUCAGAACCAAAGCCAGUGGGCUGGGAAAGGGGGAGAGGAGCACGGACUCAUGUGACUGUUUGGCCAAAGUGGCUGGAAGGCAGCAGGCGUCAUCUAAGGUAGCAGGGUGAAAUCCUCCGAGGCUGGUCGACAUAAAACAACCUUUGAGAUAACUCUGAAAUAGGAAGAAUGGAUGGAAUGAUGUACAUAUAACAGAUGAAGAAACUGAGGUUCAAAGACAAUAAGAUGAAUUGCCCACAGGGAUUGUCAGCAAUCCCCGUAUGGAGACUGGGUCUUGCUAUGAUGCUUCCCUCUAGCUAUGAAGAUGUUGAAAGAACUUUGUAAAGAGAACCUUACUAUUCUCCCAUCAAGAGAUAGAAUCUAUAGCUACUUGGGAGGCCGAGGCAGAGGAUUGCAAGUUCAAGGCCGGCACGGGUAACGUAAUGAGUUUCGUCUCAAAAUAAAACAAAACAAAAAAAAGGGCUGAAGAUGUAGCUCAGUGACAGAGCAUUUGCCUAGUAUGCAGAAAGCCCUGGGUUCAAUUCCCAGUAUUGGGGGUGGCGAGAUUAGUAGUGGAGA